rnacentral:rRNA from 1 species
CGCGUAGGCGGUUUGCUAAGUUGGAUGUGAAAACUCUGGGCUUAACCCAGAGCCUGCAUCCAAAACUGGCAGGCUAGAGUUCUGGAGGGGAUAGCGGAAUUCCUGGUGUAGCGGUGAAAUGCGUAGAUAUCAGGAGGAACACCGGUGGCGAAGGCGGCUAUCUGGACAGAGUCUGACGCUGAGGCGCGAAAGCUAGGGGAGCAAACAGGAUUAGAUACCCUGGUAGUCCUAGCCCUAAACGAUGGAUACUUGCUGUGACUGGGAUUGAAUCCAGUCGUGGCGAAGCUAACGCAUUAAGUAUCCCGCCUGGGGAGUACGGUCGCAAGGCUGAA